rnacentral:rRNA from 1 species
GUUUGAUCAUGGCUCAGGAUGAACGCUGGCGGCGCGCCUAACACAUGCAAGUCGAACGAGUAAGACGCCUUCGGGCGUGGAUAGAGUGGCGAACGGGUGAGUAACACGUGACCAACCUGCCCCCUCCUCCGGGACAACCUCGGGAAACCGAGGCUAAUACCGGAUACUCCGGGCCCCCCGCAUGGGGAGCCCGGGAAAGCCCUGGCGGGAGGGGAUGGGGUCGCGGCCCAUCAGGUAGACGGCGGGGUAACGGCCCACCGUGCCUACUACGGGUAGCCGGGCUGAGAGGCCGAUCGGCCACAUUGGGACUGAGACACGGCCCAGACUCCUACGGGAGGCAGCAGUGGGGAAUUUUGCGCAAUGGGGGCAACCCUGACGCAGCGACGCCGCGUGCGGGACGAAGUCAUUCGUGACGUAAACCGCUUUCAGCGAGGAAGAACCAUGACGGUACUCGCAGAAGAAGCCCCGGCUAACUACGUGCCAGCAGCCGCGGUAAUACGUAGGGGGCGAGCGUUAUCCGGAAUCAUUGGGCGUAAAGCGCGCGCAGGCGGGCUUUCAAGCGGCGGCGUCGAAGCCGGGGGCUCAACCCCCGGAAGCGCCCCGAACUGGAAGC